rnacentral:rRNA from 1 species
UACAGAGGGGGCAAGCGUUGUUCGGAAUUCCUGGGCGUAAAGGGCGCGUAGGCGGCCUUCUAAGUCGAACGUGAAAUCCCCGGGCUCAACCCGGGAACUGCGUCCGAUACUGGAAGGCUUGAAUCCGGGAGAGGGAUGCGGAAUUCCAGGUGUAGCGGUGAAAUGCGUAGAUAUCUGGAGGAACACCGAUGGCGAAGGCAGCCCCCUGGGCUGAGAUUGACGCUCAGGCACGAAAGCGUGGGGAGCAAACAGG